GACGAACGCUGGCGGCGUGCUUAACACAUGCAAGUCGAACGGAAAGGCCCUGCUUUUGUGGGGUGCUCGAGUGGAGAUCGGGUGAGUAACACGUGAGUAACCUGACCUUGACUUUGGGAUAACUUAACGAAACUGGGGCUAAUACCGGAUAGGAGCUCCUGCUGCAUGGUGGGGGUUGGAAAGUGUCGGCGGUUGGGGUUGGACGCGCGGCUUAUGAGUUUGUUGGUGGGGUAGUGGCUUCCGAAGGCGUUGACGGGUAGCCGGCCUGUGAGGGUGACCGGCCACAUUGGACUGAGAUACGGCCCAGACGCCUACGGGAGGCAGCAGUGGGGAAUAUUGCACAAUGGGCCGAAGCCUGAUGCAGCAACGCCGCGGGCGUGAUGACGGCCUUCGGGGUGUGAACCGCUGUCGCCUGUGACGAAGCGGGAGUGACGGUAAUGAGUAAAGAAGCACCGGCUAACUACGUG
rnacentral:rRNA from 1 species